AGUGAACGCUGGCGGUAGGCCUAACACAUGCAAGUCGAACGGCAGCACAGUAAGUGCUUGCUCUUACGGGUGGCGAGUGGCGGACGGUGGAGGAAUACAUCGGAAUCUACUUUUUCGUGGGGGAUAACAUAGGGAAACUUACUCGAAUACCGCAUAUGACCUACGGGUUAAGGCAGGGGAUCGUCUGACCUUGCGCGAUUGAAUGAGCCGAUGUCGGAUUAGCUAGGUGGCUGGGUAAAGGCACACCAAGGCCACGAUCCGUAGCUGGUCUGAGAGGGAGGUCAGCAAGACUGGCAGGGAGAAAGGGCCCAGACUCCUAGGGGAGGACACAGUGGGGAAUAUUGGACAAAGGGCGAAAGCCUGAUACAGCCAUACCGCGUGGGUGCAGAAGGACUUAGGGUUGUAAAGUCAUUUUGUUGGGAAAGAAAAGCAGCACGUUAAUACCGCGCUGUUAUGACGGUACCCAAAGAAUAAGCACCGGCUAACUUCGUG
rnacentral:rRNA from 1 species